UUCAUUUGUUCUUCAUACAAUUAUUCUUGGUUCAGGUGUGAAGGGUUCUCUACUUAUCCAAGGACAUAUGACCUUAUACAUUCUAAUGGCAUCUUCAGCUUGUACCAAAACAAAUGUCAGUUUGAAGAUAUACUCCUGGAAAUGGACAGAAUCUUACGGCCGGAGGGUGCAGUCAUAAUUCGUGACAAGGUUGAUGUUCUUGUAAAAGUGGAGAAAAUAGCCAAUGCCAUGAGGUGGAAGACAAGAUUGGCUGAUCAUGAGGGUGGCCCUCUUGUACCUGAGAAGAUACUCUUCGCGGUCAAGCAAUACUGGACCGUUGCAAAAACAAGCAGCUAACAUUAUUCGUAUUUUAUUUUUUUCUCCAGUCACAGGUAACUUGGUCCCUGGAUGUGUUUAUUGGGGGGAAAAUCUGCCGGUUUGAAAAUCAUCAUCCCAUGUUUGUUACUAAAAAUAGAAAACGAGCUUACAAUCACCCUGGAGGAUGGUAAGUUAUGCGGGACCUAGUUGUGAACUUGUGAUUUGGUUAUUCCACUGUUGCAGAGAUGCAGAAGACAUGCCAAAAGGAUCAAUUGGCCUUGCACUAGUGACUCAUAUAGUCAUAUCUGAUCGGACAGAUGCAGCUGCUUAUAAUUGGAACCCUGCAGCAGUCCAGGAAGUUAUGAACUAGCAGUGGACUUACAGUUUUGUAUAGGAUACUCAUUUACCUCUACACGCACCUCUUUUUU